UACAGAGGUGGCGAGCGUUAUUCGGAAUUAUUGGGCGUAAAGGGCGCGUAGGCGGCCAGAUAAGUCCCGGGUGAAAUCCCUCGGCUCAACCGAGGAACUGCCUUGGAAACUGUCUGGCUCGAGGCCGGGAGAGGGUAGUGGAAUUCCCAGUGUAGCGGUGAAAUGCGUAGAUACUGGGAGGAACACCGGUGGCGAAGGCGGCUACCUGGACCGGCUCUGACGCUGAUGCGCGAAAGCGUGGGGAGCAAACAGG
rnacentral:rRNA from 1 species